GUGCUUGCUUAGACAGCACAUAUGUUAAAAUUGGGACAAUACAGAGAAAAUUACUAUGGCCCUUGUGUGAGGAUAUACACAAAUUCAUGAAGUGUUCUAUGUAUAU